rnacentral:tRNA from 1 species
AUUCUUGUAGUUGAACUACAACGGUGGUUUUUCGAGUCGCUAGUCUUGGUUAGAAUCCGGGUAAGAAUU